UUUUAUGGAGAGUUUGAUCCUGGCUCAGGACGAACGCUGGCGGCGUGCCUAAUACAUGCAAGUCGAGCGAACAGAGAAGGAGCUUGCUCCUUUGACGUUAGCGGCGGACGGGUGAGUAACACGUGGGCAACCUACCUUAUAGUUUGGGAUAACUCCGGGAAACCGGGGCUAAUACCGAAUAAUCU
rnacentral:rRNA from 1 species